AUUGAACGCUGGCGGCAUGCCUUACACAUGCAAGUCGAACGGUAACAGGUCUUCGGAUGCUGACGAGUGGCGAACGGGUGAGUAAUACAUCGGAACGUGCCUAGUAGUGGGGGAUAACUACUCGAAAGAGUGGCUAAUACCGCAUGAGAUCUACGGAUGAAAGCAGGGGAUCGCAAGACCUUGUGCUACUAGAGCGGCCGAUGGCAGAUUAGGUAGUUGGUGGGAUAAAAGCUUACCAAGCCGACGAUCUGUAGCUAGUCUGAGAGGACGAUCAGCCACACUGGGACUGAGAAAAGGCCCAGACUCCUUCGGGAGGCAGAAGUGGGGAAUUUUGGAUAAUGGGCGCAAGACUGAUCCAGCAAUGCCGCGUGCAGGAUGAAGGCCUUCGGGUUGUAAACUGCUUUUGUACGGAACGAAAAGACCUGGGUUAAUACCCUGGGGUCAUGACGGUACCGUGAGAAUAAGCACCGGCUAACUACGUGCCAGCCGCCGCCGUAACAC
rnacentral:rRNA from 1 species